rnacentral:rRNA from 1 species
UACGAAGGGUGCAAGCGUUACUCGGAAUUACUGGGCGUAAAGCGUGCGCAGGUGGUGCGUUAAGUCCGAUGUGAAAGCCCUGGGCUCAACCUGGGAAUGGCAUUGGAUACUGGCGUGCUCGAGUACGGUAGAGGGUGGCGGAAUUCCCGGUGUAGCAGUGAAAUGCGUAGAGAUCGGGAGGAACAUCCGUGGCGAAGGCGGCCACCUGGACCAGUACUGACACUGAGGCACGAAAGCGUGGGGAGCAAACAGGAUUAGAUACCCCGUGUAGUCC